rnacentral:rRNA from 1 species
CGGCCCUUUGGCCUGCUAGUCUCCCAGCGAGGGAGGCGACACGCUCAAUGUGCGGAGAGCCCUCCCCCGAGGAGGCAAUCCGCAGUGGCCGGCGCGGCCAUUCAGAGACUCAAUGAGCGUGGGUUCAGCGCGGCUGAGCUUGAGAUAGAGCCCGUCCCUGCCGGCAACGGCGGGGAGGAAACGGAACCUGCGGAAGGAUCAUUACAGAAGGAUAUCGCCCUCGGGCUUCUCUUCUCACCCUUUGUUUACCACACGUAGUUGCCUUGGCGCUCCGCGCCAGUGGAUCGAAACUCCUGAAUCAUUGCCGUCUGAGUACUAUUCAAUAGUUAAAACUUUCAACAACGGAUCUCUUGGUUCUGGCAUCGAUGAAGAACGCAGCGAAAUGCGAUAAGUAAUGUGAAUUGCAGAAUUCAGUGAAUCAUCGAAUCUUUGAACGCACAUUGCGCCCUCCGGUAUUCCGGGGGGCAUGCCUGUUCGAGCGUCAUUACAACCCUCAAGCUCUGCUUGGUGUUGAGCCCGCCCCGGCCUGCCCGGGGCUCGCUUCAAAGUCAGUGGCGGCCGCCGUCCGACCUUCAGCGCAGUAAUGCUCGCCGCUGUUAGGGAAGGGCAGCAAGGGCCGUCAUACAACCCCCACACACAAGGUUGACCUCGGAUCAGGUAGGGAUACCCGCUGAACUUAAGCAUAUCAAUAAGCGGAGGAAAAGAAACCAACAGGGAUUGCCUCAGUAACGGCGAGUGAAGCGGCAACAGCUCAAAUUUGAAAGCUGGCUCCUUCGGGGCCCGCGUUGUAAUUUGUAGAGGAUGCUUCGGGCGCGGCACCGGUCUAAGUUCUCUGGAACGAGACGUCAUAGAGGGUGAGAAUCCCGUAUGUGACUGGCUGCCUGUGCCCAUGUGAAGCUCCUUCGACGAGUCGAGUUGUUUGGGAAUGCAGCUCAAAAUGGGAGGUGUACUCCUUCUAAAGCUAAAUAUUGGCCAGAGACCGAUAGCGCACAAGUAGAGUGAUCGAAAGAUGAAAAGCACUUUGGAAAGAGAGUUAAACAGUACGUGAAAUUGUUGAAAGGGAAGCGCUUGCAAUCAGACUUGCGCGGCGUCGAUCAGCCUGGGUUCUCCCUGGUGCACUCGGCGCCGCUCAGGCCAGCAUCAGUUUCGGCGGUGGGAUAAAGGCCUAGGGAACGUGGGUCCCCUCGGGG